GAAUAGAACACCCGACCCACUCCUCCUCCCUUGGGUCCGGGUUCAGGCGGCAUCCUCCCUCCUCCUCCCUGAGGAUGCCGCCGCUCAGAUACGGCGAAGUCUGUUCCUCCUCCCUCAGGCUUCGCGUUCC
rfam:Paracoccus denitrificans PD1222 chromosome 1, complete sequence.